GGGGUUAUGGCUCAGUGGUAGAGCACUUGCAUUGCAAGUAUGAGGUACUGGGUUCGAUCUUUGGCACCA
rnacentral:tRNA from 1 species